rnacentral:rRNA from 1 species
UACAGAGGUCUCAAGCGUUGUUCGGAUUCAUUGGGCGUAAAGGGUGCGCAGGCGGCGUGGAAAGUUGAGUGUGAAAUCCCGGGGCUUAACCUCGGAACUGCACUCAAUACUCCCAUGCUAGAGGAAUGUAGAGGAGAGUGGAAUUCACGGUGUAGCAGUGAAAUGCGUAGAUAUCGUGAGGAAGACCAGUUGCGAAGGCGACUCUCUGGGCAUUUCCUGACGCUCAUGCACGAAGGCCAGGGGAGCAAACGGG